GCAUUUAUGAAAAUAAAAAUUGAUGAUGCUGAUAACAUUCAAGAGUUCAUCUUUUAUAUGUGACUUUUUCAAACUUCAGGCGUUUCGUAUAUUAUUAUGAAGAUGUGCGCUGAUAAAGCAUUAGUGAAGAUACAUCGGGAUAUAAAAAAUGACGCCGUGUGCAUGUGAUUUUACGCUUACGUUCUACAUCGGGGCGCCUUCGAGGUACACGACGCCCCCCGGUAUCUAAUGCAUAUUAUGGAUAUCUCACUUGUUAGCAUUUGCCGCAGAGAUAUAUUAUUGAUGAUUAAUACAUGAAUUCCCCCUACAUUCAUUAUCGUACUAUUAAUGCGGUUUCAUCUAUACGUAUCGUCUAAUAAUCGUUAAUAAUUGGAAAAAAAGUUUUUGCGCGUACACAGUGUCAUGACACGAAUAUUACACAUUAAUAUUUAUAACAUUUCGCAGUUAAAACACCUCGAUACUCGCAUUAAUUACUAUAUAUAUCUCACAUUAAUUGUGGUAAUAUAUUAGUAAUGGUAACUCCAAUGGCAACGUAACGCAUGUAAUAUAUAUUUAUGUAUAUAUAACAUAAUGGACAUUUAUAGUCGCGAUCUAUUGUUUUAACACAUUUAAGAGUAAGAUUUAUCAUAACAACCAUAAUGACUAGGAAACAUUGGAAAUGUUUUAUAAUCUAUUAUGGCAACAGGGGCUAAGUGAUGGUUCGUACAUUCAUGUUUUUCUUCUUUUUUUUUUGUUAUUCAGAAAAUUGCGACGCAUUAUUUAAUUGCUAUUGUUCUAUUAAUAUUUCCGUUCGGUUAAUUGCAAAUCACAUCGAAACGUUGAACAUUCGGUAAAACUAUUGCCGUAUUCGUACAAUCAUACAGAUAAAACGUUAAUAAUACAAAAAAUCUCAUCGUUAAUUUUUCGCCGUAUCAUUAAAUCGUUGUUCUUGAAAAAAUAUACAUGAAAGCUAAAUGAAAAGAAAACACUUGUCGCAAUGGAUUACCAUUUCACGGUCGCGAUUUAACAAUCGAGAAGUCUUAAUGGAUAUUACGUUUCACUUCAGUGACACGAAUUUCUUUAUACCUUUAUCCGUAAUAUAUAAAAUACCGAUACAAAAGUUUUACAAAAAGGCGCAAAUGUGAAUACGAUGCGCCGAAAAACAAUGAGUCCAAUGCCCUUCCAAAUUCAAAAGUAAAUCGAUAAUUUCACCCGAUGUUUCGCAUCAAGCGCCGUUUUUAUAAUAGCUAUAUGUUAGGCAAAAAACAGCAUGCUUUGACUCAGGUAUCGGCUCGUCCCGAAAAAUGGUCUACUCUCUAUUUUUUUAUAUCUCCCCUCGUGGACUAUUGCGAAAAGGAUCUUGACGAUCACUGAACGAUUAUGCUCGCUGCUCAUCGCGCUUUUCGCUCUUGCUAACAGCAGGCGGCUCAAAUCAAUUGAAUUUUCCAACGAAUAGAAUAGAUUUUAAUUCUUAUCGGCGCAGAGCUAAAUUUACAUUUUGCUAUUUUCAAGAUGUUAAUAAUUAUUUCAAGGUAUUUAAGUGAUACUUCCGCUAUUUCAAUCUUCGUUCAAGCGACAAAUGCACGAUCGCAACGAGCAUCUCGUUGUGCACCUAACGAUUAACGUUGCAUAUCAUAGGAAUAAUUACAUAUUUGUAUUUAUAUAUAUAUGCGUUUGCAUCUAUAUAUAUUUGUCUUUAUAUUUAUAUAUAUUUUUAUAUAUAUUAUUUAUAUAUACUCUUUAUAUAUUUUUAUACACGUUCUCGUUAAUAUUGUACUACACUUCUUCGCGUACUUCGCUAGAGGCUAUAAAUUUAUAUUCUUACAUUUGACUCGUUUCACCUUAGAGCUUCGCCAAACUCUGAUAAUCCUUAGUAAUUAACGAUGACAGAUAGAACUCGCAUUUUAUGUGUGUGUGUAUGUGUGUAUGUGUGUAUGUAUGUUAUUCUAAUUCUUUCCCUCCAUUGGCUUAAUGGAGGGAAAGCUACUUGCGUAUUGGCAGGUGAUACAUCUAGUGCGCGCCAAUCUACGCGGGCGCGUGAUUUAUGAUACUGAUACGAACAUUGUUCUACAUUAAGAUCGUCUUCCGAUCUCUUUCUUCCUUUCUUCCGUUCGUUUUUCACCCGUUUCCAUCGCUCAGGACACGUACUCGUUCUGUUGAUUCGUUGUCCUCUCUCAGUGAGCUACUAAAAAUACGCUUAUGUCCUUAAGUACCGUUAAAAGUUUAUCGUUAAAAAGAAACGCGCCGUGUCGUUCGCGAUUCCUCUCCUGAUUUUUGUUCGAGCUCUCUUCGAUCUCUUAUCGAUCGAUGUAUUCUACUUGCAUUGAUCUUGCUUUUUAUUAUGAGAUCAGGGAGCUGAUCUUCGUAAUCGUCAACUUUUCCAUCUUUCAUUCUAAAUUAUACAGAAAUGUGAUAUAUCCGAUCAAAUCUUACUAUUUUAUAUUAAGAGAAUUUAGUGAAUUCCCUUAACAUUAAAAUAAAGAUAUUCAUACUUUUCAUUUUUUUUUUAAUUACUUGAUCGACCUUCGAUGUAAUUAAAUCUAAUUCGUUUGAUGGAAAGUAUGUAAGUAAGCCGUAAAAUAUAAAAUAAAAUAACAGCGACAUUAUCGAAUCUAUUCCAAAAGACGGUAUUUGAUCAGUACAAACAUAUUAAAAUUCUAUAAUUGCAACAGAUAUAAAAAAAGCCGCCAUUCAUUCAGACCAUCCUCGAACUGCUACACUUUUGCUUACGUUGCAUUUUUUUUCUAUUACGCUCGAAAUCACCACGAACCGCAACGAAUCGUCCGCUUGUACUCAUCAUCCAUUACAACUCUAUCGUUUCUGUUUUUUUUAUCACUUUUCGCGACGAUUGAAUCGCACGCACUUCGCACACAGUAAUGUCAGAAGUCAUCACCGUUGGUAUUCAGCCUCGAUUCAAGGUUCGUCGAAACGUCGGCCGCCGCGUGAAUGUCAGCCAAUUCGAAAGUCACGGCGCGGUUUUCGAGCACGUGGCGGUCAACGAGUCGAUCAUGGACCUCGAUCCAACCCUUUCUCCCGCGUGGGUGGUCCGCGUUCGUGGUCAUCGAAGCGUCACGUUUCCGAUUCUCCCUUCCUCUCCUCGGGAGCAUGAUCAACGUGCUCGCGGGCGCCCGGGUAAAGAUCAUUCCGCUCGAGAAAGCGCGGACGAGCACGGCCGCCCUUUCGUCGAACGCUCGCCUACUAAUCUACGUAAUCUGUUUUGGAUUAUACGUGUAUUAUAAUAUCUUGCAUAAUCCAACACACUCUGACCGAUUAUGUUAAUUUUUUUUUUUAAGAUCCCUAACGAAUCUACAUAAAUUAGUUAUUAGUUAGACCUGUGUCUUCCUGAAAUCUUAGCGCGAUAUAUAUCCUCAAUAUUUUUGCUUUCCUGGCACGAUAGGCUGACUUUAAUGAUUAACGGAUUAAAUAACAUCGACAUCAUUACCGUACAGUAAUAUUACUUAUAUAGCGUUACAAUUUAAUUUUUUUUUUCAUUUGUGUACGUGUGUAUGUAAUGUGUAUGUGUAUGAAUGGAUGUCAUACAUAUAUUGGGCUAGCACGCAUUGAAAUCAAGGAGGUAACGCACAGUACCCGGGCCGCGACGUGUACAUUCGUCGCGCCCACACGCCUCAUUCGGCUAUGAUCGCUACUUUUUUU